GCCGGGCAUGGUGGUGCAUGCCUGUAGUCCCAGCUACUCCGGAAGCUGAGGCAGGAGAAUCACUUGAACCCAGGAGGUGGAGGUUGCAGUGAGCUGAGACUGCACCACUGCAUUCUAGCCUGGGUGACAGAGUGAGACUCCGUCUCAA
rnacentral:SRP_RNA from 2 species